CCACUGGAAUGCCCAGGGAGCUGUGGAAUACCCAUGUGUGUGCUGCACUUGGCCAUGCACACCUGCUGUCUAGAGCAACCUGUAGAUACUCUAGUAGAGUAAGAGAAAGUAAAUACAAAUUCUUAAUUUCAUACACUUUUUUUGGUGUGGUUGUGAGGAAUAUGCGUAACUUCAACUGAAAAAUACUUCUUGUGACUGUACUCCAAGGAGAAAGAGCACAGGAGACAACACAAGGAAGCAAGCAUUCUGGGCCAGGGCUUCAGCCAGAACAAACAGGGUGACUUUGGCUAGAUAGCGAGAAUGUGUUUGGGGACAGGCAGUGACACGCAAUUACAUGGAAUUAAAACUUUUAAAAAUUAUUGUAAGGCUGAAAUAAAGAACUUCG